rnacentral:lncRNA from 1 species
GUUACUGGAGUUAAAAUCUGUCUGUGUCUUUUAAAAUCUUCAGAAAAUGUACCAUCUUUAUAACUACUGGAAAAUAACUUGAGUCUCCUUCAGUAAAGUGAGGAAAAUUCACUUUAAUGACUUUAAAUGCAGGUUUGGUACCGUGGAUGAACUCUUUUAACUGAAUCCUCUUAUUCCAAGAACCACUUCAUUCCCACCCCUAUGUAUUAUUCUGUUCUAGCUCCAAACUUGGUUGUUGAUCAGACCUGAGCCAACUGCAGUCCUUUCCCCAAAGACAACCUAUUGGAUAGUAGUAAGCAAAUGAUCAAGCUGACCCAAGUUUCUAUGACAGUUUGGAAUCCAGGAGAGAGAUUCCAGGUAACAGAAUGCCUAUUUCUUCUGGAAAACAUUCCAAGUUGUUCAGUUGGGAGUAAAACAAAACCUUGUCCUCCGAAGCCACAGGAGGGCACCUGAGCAAGGCCUAGCACAUUAUACACUAAAGCAACUUGGAAAAGCACUCCCUCUAGACGAGAAUAUCAAUAUUUGGUUGCUAGUUAUCAUCCAGUAAAGUCAAGAGAGCUAUUGGAUCAUCAGAGACAGUAC